rnacentral:rRNA from 1 species
AUGAUCUCCGGCACCAGCAUGGCGGCACCGCACGUCGGUGGCGUCGCCGCUCUCAUCAAGCAGCAGCACCCAUCGUGGGGCCGUCGGCCAUCGCCUCCGCGCUGUCGACCACCGCGACUAAGGCAUGACAACGGCAGGAGACCCAUCAUGGCGAAGGGCUUCAAGCUUGGCAUGUCACAGCCGGCGACACCAUUCGACUGCGGCGCAGGGUUCAUCAACCCUGCCGGCGCAAUGGACCCCGGACUCGUCCUCGAGUCCGGGUUCGACGACUACAUCAGCUUCCUCUGCUCGUUGCCGCAGCUCAGCCCCGACGAUGUCCAAGGAGCCACCGGAGCGACAUGCCAGGCUGCACUUGAUUCUCCAGCGGACCUCAACCUGCCGCCCAUCACCGUCUCUGUGCUGCAAGGGUCUCUGACCGUGCGGCGCAGGGUGACGAAUGCGGCCAGCAAUGCCGAGAGAUACCUCUGCUCCGCCCUACCGCCGGACGGGGUAGCCGUCGGCGUGCGGCCGGGGUGGUUCGACAUUGCUCCCGGAGAGACACAGGAGGUUGUGAUUGAGCUGAAUGUGAGCAGGGCGUCAGGGGCUUUCAGUUUCGGAGAUAGUCCGAGCGCUUUCAACCACAUGAUCAAGUGUACAAAUGGAAAUGCCUGA